rnacentral:rRNA from 1 species
GACGAACGCUGGCGGCGCGCUUAACACGUGCAAGUCGAGCGAGAACCAGGCCUUCGGGCCUGGGGAAAGCGGCGAACGGGUGAGUAACACGUGGGUAACCCACCCUUGGUACCGGGAUAGCCCGAGGAAACUCGGAUUAAUACCGGAUGGCCCAACAGCUUCUCGGAGCGGUUGGAAGAGGUAGCUUCGGCCUCCGACCAAGGACGGGCCCGCGGCGGAUUAGCUUGUUGGUGAGGUAACGGCUCACCAAGGCGACGANCCGUAGCUGGUCUGAGAGGACGAUCAGCCACACUGGGACUGAGACACGGCCCAGACUCCUACGGGAGGCAGCAGUGGGGAAUCUUGCGCAAUGGGCGAAAGCCUGACGCAGCGACGCCGCGUGGGGAAGAAGGCUUUCGGUU